UGGGGAAUAUUGCACAAUGGGGGAAACCCUGAUGCAGCGACGCCGCGUGAGCGAAGAAGGUUUUCGAAUCGUAAAGCUCUGUCCUAUGGGAAGAUAAUGACGGUACCAUAGGAGGAAGCCCCGGCUAACUACGUGCCAGCAGCCGCGGUAAUACGUAGGGGGUAAGCGUUGUCCGGAAUCACUGGGCGUAAAGGGUUCGCAGGCGGAAAUGCAAGUCAGUUGUGAAAGGCAGAGGCUCAACCUCUGUAAGCAAUUGAAACUGUAUUUCUUGAGAUGUGGAGAGGCAAGUGGAAUUCCUAGUGUAGCGGUGAAAUGCGUAGAUAUUAGGAAGAAUACCGGUGGCGAAGGCGACUUGCUGGACACAAACUGACGCUGAGGAACGAAAGCGUGGGUAGCAAACAGG
rnacentral:rRNA from 1 species